rnacentral:lncRNA from 1 species
CUGGGAGUUAAAUUCAUUACGCCUCGCGUACAAACAAUCGUUUGAGACGUGCUGAAUCAAAGGGCCAAUUUCAGACGCACAAACACAUCGGGCCGAACUGUAAUUUUAAGUGGGAGGAUUAACAAUUCCUUUUUUCCUCCCCGGUGAAAGUGACAGCCUCAAUUUUACACUCUGCUUCCACUUGAUUCGCCUGAAAAAGGGGCCGCGCUCGUUACCGCGUAUUGCACUUCCAUCUCCGAAUUUGUAAUCUCCUGCGAUGUUUGGGGGGAAAAAUGAAAGGACAGCGGAAAAGCUUCCCCGGAAUAUAUAAAAAAAAAAAAAAAAAAAAAAAAAAAUACUGAAGCAAUUACCGGCAGGACGGCCUUAUCUCGUGGAAAUGGAUAUCUGCUUAAAACAUGUAUCAUGUGCAGCGCGGGGAUUUGUGACACUGGCAGCUUCCAGCCAAGCGCGCGUCUCGCAGGCGUGUCUACAGGGUACUUACACGGCGCGCAAUCUGCUUAGUCCGAGCAGGCCCGCUGGAAGGGGGAAAACGAAACGCCGACGGUUCGUCGCUUUAGAGCUUUAUCGGAAGAAACCAGCACUUGGUUCUCAGACUAUCUGCUGACACAAGUGUGUCGCUGCGCUCCGCACUGUGUUGCGCUGCCAGAGUGAUGGACACCGAUGGACACCGAUGGACACCGAUGGACAGCUGAACACCAAGAAGGUGAACCGCCCGGCAGCUUGGGCGUCAGAGCAAAGAUCUGAAAAAUGACCCGGGUUUUCCUGAUCUACAGCAAUCGCAGUGAAAUGAAAGCGAAACGCUGGAGAUCCGGACACGAAAUAUCUGCGGGACACGGGGACAAUCGAGAGCAAAGUGUCUCCAUCAGUCUGCAUUCCUUCUCAUCGCCUCGCAGCUCUCACGGACACACCUUGACGGCGCGGCGCUUCUGAGCAGAUGGGCGCUGUUUUUUUAUUCUUUAAAUUUUUAAUUUUUUUUCGGUCAGAUCAGAGACCCCCCCCUCCAUGC